GUCAAAAGCACUGCUGCAGUAGGAUACCAAUUGAUUAAACCACCGAACGGGGCUGCACAGAGUCAUUACAGCCUUCCAGUUAAAAAGACUCCAAAAGUGACAUCCAUCGAAAAUCCCAACUACGAGAAGACGUUACCAGUAACGAACCAUGAGUAUGCUAAACCAGAAAUUAAGACGGAUACCAACUGUUAGCCAACAUGUGGAAACAGUGAAAACAAUACCCCAACAACUUAAGUUAAAAUUAGAACUCCUGGCUAGUUUGUGGUAUAACAGUGUAAACUAUAGUAUGGUAAACUUAUAGAUACUGAAAGCGGUGCGGUACUCCGUUUAGCGGUUUUCUUAGAAUUCUGGGGUAUUCAAGUCGUUUUGGCGCUUUAAAUAAUUGCUGUUUAAUGCAUGAAUACUAUGAAAAAAACAACAACAACAAACAACACUCAAAUGCGUGGUUAGAAGGGAGAAAGCCGAUAAGGAAAAUAUAAUUCAAAACGGAAGGGAUUGGUUGAUCCUAGGGUUGGAGCCAAGUUCCAGAUCGCGUUUCUCCUCCCAUUGGAGACGCACGUAUAAAGUAACACACUGAUUAGUAGCUGUAUAUAUUUGUCAGGUUCACCACCUAGGAGACGCUUGCUGAAAAGUAAUUUCACUUAAUUUCACAGCUGUCAUCGAGAAAGAUCCUUGCAGGUUAAUUUACGCCGGCGAAGUUUAUCUUUUACAUGUUUUCCAUGACGUGACCUUGUUAUAGUUAUGGUGACAUGCCUUUGUUUGAGACAAAAGGACUUCUCGAUAGAUAGUUUGUUAAAUUAUAGCUCUUUCCUUGUCGUCUCCGAGAAGAAUUUGACGAAAGCGCGUUGACCCUCUCGAUUCCUUCCCAGUCUAGCCCUCAAUUUUUGCUAUGACGUCAUGAUCCUCGGCUUUAUGUAGCGUUUGAACAGCAAAAAAGGAUAGACUGGGAACGAGUCUAAUAAGGCAAUUGAGGCCUUUAUUUCUUUGCUCAACAAGUUACAGUAGAAAAAGGGGAAAAUACCUGUAUUCGUUACUGGAAAAGUCACAAAUUUCUCUGUCUUUUGGUGGAAAGUGGGAGUAUUUGGGAAAGUUAACUAUUACAAAAACUAGUUGGUGUCGGAUAAUGAUUUCUUUCGUUGACAUUUCAUCUUCUCUACAGGCCUUGUUUACGCUUAUUUUCCGAACGUUCGGUUUUGUUUCCUUCUUUAAAAGGAUUUGCGUGUGAAAGAAACCUUUUGUGUCUCGGCAUUGAAAGCCCGUGUGAGUCUGGCUGUAGAAAAACUUGAAGUAGUCUUAGCAUUUGAAUGCAGUUUGCUCGCAGUUGUGUGUGUCGCGAGUUCAAAGAAAAUACUUUGAUUUUCAUUUACGCCACAGGUUUUCGAUCAUGAUGUAAUUCAAAGUAUUGAUACAGAGUGAUUGUAAGAGCAAUACUUUGGCAGUAAGGUUUGUAAAAUGGCAAUCGAUCUAACAAGUCUCCUACACUUUCAAAUCUUUGGAAAGUGCCCGAAUUUGUUUGCCUGUUUGGAGAGAUAGAAUUAUCAAUCCCAAAUAUUGACGACUUUCGCUCGGGUUCGUAAGCCGUCUACUCGGUCAAUCAUCGAGCGCAAUAUUCCGAGAGUGAAAAAGACCUUUUCACAGUUUUGAAUGUAAAAUUGGGUUAAGCUAAGAAAGGAUAUAAUAUAUGAAGAUUGCAAAGGCGUUAGCUUUGUACAGACGUGUGAAAGAAAAUAUUGAUAAUGAAAAGGACUAGUCCACAAGAUUGAAUAGGAAUUAGUUACGUAAGGUAUACAUAGAAGGCUAAAAAGCUUUGGGCUUUUUACUGUUACGUAGAAAUAGUAUUAGUAACUUGUCUAUAGAGAGCUGAAUGAGUUGUACAACAGCCAUUAACAGUGGCGGAUCUAGACCUUAAGUUAAGUGGGGGGAGGGGUUUUGUCGCUUGCCCUGCCGGCUUUUCUUCCUUCUGCGAUUCUUUCUCUUUUACCCAAAAUAAGAGGGGGGCCCGAGCCUCCUGGGUCCCUCCCCUAGAUCCGCCACUGAUUAAACAGUAUUUUCGUAGGGUUCACGACUCGAAGAGUCAGCAGAAAUGUUGAAAUUGUUCACUUAUUUAAAAUUCACGGUUGUAUGUUUUAAGUCAAGAUUUUGCAUUAUAUUUAAAGAGGUUAUAUAGUAAUAAAGGCCAGACAAUAUUUUGUUGCAGA